GUUUAAAUAUUUAAUAUUUACUUAACACUAUACUCGUAUUACCGAGCCGUAUAGCAAAGGUAAGACGACUGAAGCGCUAAACCUUGACAAAAUGUUUAAAAACUAAAAAUUCAAAUGUGGAUAUCGUAUUUGCUAUGCAUUAUCUCUUUGACUGUAGCUGCAUGUGAACGUAGCUUUAGCAAAUUCAAACUCAAUCUGUAUGCGCCAUGAGGGGCCAUUGAAUUCGGCUAUUUUAUCUAUAGAAAACCAUGUUGCAGGAGAAAUUUAUUUUGAGAAUUUUAUCGAUGCAUUUUCGGCAAUCAAAUCGAGAAAAGUACGAUAAUUGUGACUCUGAAAAACGUAUUACCUACCUAU